rnacentral:rRNA from 1 species
UACAGAGGUCCCAAGCGUCGUUCGGAUUCACUGGGCGUAAAGGGUGCGUAGGCGGUCGGGUAAGUCUGAUGUGAAAUCUCACAGCUUAACUGUGAAACUGCAUUGGAUACUAUCCGGCUAGAGGAAUGGAGGGGAGACUGGAAUACUUGGUGUAGCAGUGAAAUGCGUAGAUAUCAAGUGGAACACCAGUGGCGAAGGCGAGUCUCUGGACAUUUCCUGACGCUGAGGCACGAAAGCCAGGGGAGCAAACGGG